GACGAACGCUGGCGGCGUGCUUAACACAUGCAAGUCGAACGAUGAAGCCCUUUCGGGGGGUGGAUUAGUGGCGAACGGGUGAGUAACACGUGGGUAACCUGCCCUGUACCCUGGGAUAAGCCUUGGAAACGAGGUCUAAUACCGGAUAUGACCUGCUCUCGCAUGGGGGUGGGUGGAAAGUUUUGGCGGUGCAGGAUGGACCCGCGGCCUAUCAGCUUGUUGGUGGGGUGAUGGCCUACCAAGGCGACGACGGGUAGCCGGCCUGAGAGGGCGACCGGCCACACUGGGACUGAGACACGGCCCAGACUCCUACGGGAGGCAGCAGUGGGGAAUAUUGCACAAUGGGCGAAAGCCUGAUGCAGCGACGCCGCGUGA
rnacentral:rRNA from 1 species